rnacentral:rRNA from 1 species
AGCGAACGCUGGCGGCAGGCCUAACACAUGCAAGUCGAACGAAGUCUUCGGACUUAGUGGCGGACGGGUGAGUAACACGUGGGAACGUGCCUUUAGGUUCGGAAUAACUCAGGGAAACUUGUGCUAAUACCGAAUGUGCCCUUCGGGGGAAAGAUUUAUCGCCUUUAGAGCGGCCCGCGUCUGAUUAGCUAGUUGGUGAGGUAAAGGCUCACCAAGGCGACGUUCAGUAGCUGGUCUGAGAGCAUGAUCAGCCACAUUGGGACUGAGACACGGCCCAAACGCCUACGGGAGGCAGCAGUUUGGAAUCUUGCGCAAUGGGCGAAAGCCUAACGCAGCCAUGCCGCGUGAAUGAUGAUGGUCUUAGGAUUGUAAAAUUCUUUCACCGGGGACGAUAAUGACGGUACCCGGAGAAGAAGCCCCGGCUAACUUCGUGCCAGCCGCCGCGGUAAGAC